UACGUAGGGUGCAAGCGUUGUCCGGAAUUAUUGGGCGUAAAGAGCUCGUAGGCGGUCUGUCGCGUCGGAUGUGGAAAUCCAGGGCUCAACCCUGGACCUGCAUUCGAUACGGGCAGACUAGAGUUCGGCAGGGGAGACUGGAAUUCCUGGUGUAGCGGUGAAAUGCGCAGAUAUCAGGAGGAACACCGGUGGCGAAGGCGGGUCUCUGGGCCGAUACUGACGCUGAGGAGCGAAAGCGUGGGGAGCGAACAGG
rnacentral:rRNA from 1 species